ACGUAGGUGGCAAGCGUUGUCCGGAAUUAUUGGGCGUAAAGGGAGCGCAGGUGGGAAUGUAAGUCAGUCUUAAAAGUGCGGGGCUCAACCCCGUGAUGGGACAGAAACUACAUUUCUUGAGUGCAGGAGAGGAAAGUGGAAUUCCUAGUGUAGCGGUGAAAUGCGUAGAUAUUAGGAGGAACACCAGUGGCGAAGGCGACUUUCUGGACUGUAACUGACACUGAGGCUCGAAAGCUAGGGGAGCGAACGGGAUUAGAUACCCCGGUAGUCCUAGCCGUAAACGAUGAAUACUAGGUGUAGGGGGUAUCGACCCCUCCUGUGCCGGAGCUAACGCAAUAAGUAUUCCGCCUGGGGAGUACGGCCGCAAGGUUG
rnacentral:rRNA from 1 species